ACAACAACAUUCGGACCGUCGGUCUACCGAGCAAUAUCACCCGCUCGUUGGAAGAUCUUCCCUUUGUCGUUUAAG
rnacentral:pre_miRNA from 1 species